GACACAAACGUUUAUUUUUGAAGACAGGUUUCCAUUUUACACAAAUCAUCUGAAACAUCUAAAAUGUAUUAAGUAUUUCACGGAGACUCACUUGAUCAGAACACAGACACUAUGCUAAAUUACAUGUUAGUAAGUAUACAUUAAGUCUUACAAAUAUUGGGUCAAUUAUAUCUAGUUCCAAAAUCAGUGCUUUCUAUCUUCAGAUCUGUUCAAAAGUUACACUCAAAUAGUUUACCUUCUACUUUAGUGGCUAAGAAGUAAAUGCUUAAUAGGAUAGUUAAUUCUCAAAUCUAUACAAUAAGGAUGGCUUCUAUCCUGCCAAUAUUACCCCAAGGAUUUAGGUAAAUAAAGUACCUGGUUGUAACAUGGUAGUUACUUAAUACAGCUUAUCCUUUUCCCAAGCAAUGUUUUCAAAUAAGCAUAAAAGUCUACGAAUAAUUUGGGUUAGCUUGAUAGAAGAAAGUAAUUUAAUCAAUGAUUGGUAUGAACAGUUACUUUAGGCUUUUUGUGAAAAGUCAGCAGAAACUGGAAAUAUACCCUAGCUAAGCCACAGUUUACAAAACUCAAAGGAAUUAUUCUAAAAACUUAUUAUUCCUUUUAGGGUAGAUUUCUGAGCCCCAGCAUCAGGUUCCAACCAUCUAGAAACAGCCUAGAGAUCUGAAUUAAAAGCAGCAGCAACAAACAAGCAGCAUAAGCCUAGCAACUACUGUGUUCCUACUUUCUAAAGGGGAAUGAAGAAUAUGAACUCUCAACAUCCUGCUCAAGCCACCAUGCCUGCUGCUCGCUACCACGCAUUCUUCCUAUGACAGACUCUUAUCCCUUUGGAACUAUAAGGUCAAAUAAACUUUCUCCUAUAAUUUA